rnacentral:rRNA from 1 species
AAUCAACGCUGGCGGCGUGCCUCAGACAUGCAAGUCGAACGCGAAAUUUCCCUUCGGGGAGAAAGUAGAGUGGCGCACGGGUGAGUAACACGUAGGUAAUUUGCCUUUGGGUGGGGAAUAACUCAGGGAAACUUGAGCUAAUACCGCAUAAUGCAGCGGCUCGACAUCGAGACAGUUGUUAAAGCGGGGGAUUGGAGCAAUCCGACCUCGCGCCUAAAGAGAAGCCUGCGGCAGAUUAGCUAGUUGGUAAGGUAAUGGCUUACCAAGGCGACGAUCUGUAACCGGCCUGAGAGGGCGGUCGGGUCACACUGACACUGACAUACGGGUCAGACCC